rnacentral:rRNA from 1 species
ACUCCUACGGGAGGCAGCGGUGGGGAAUUUUGGACAAUGGACGCAAGUCUGAUCCAGCCAUUCCGCGUGCAGGAUGAAGGCCCUCGGGUUGUAAACUGCUUUUGUACGGAACGAAAAGGUCUCUCUUAAUACGGGGGGCUCAUGACGGUACCGUAAGAAUAAGCACCGGCUAACUACGUGCCAGCAGCCGCGGUAAUAC